CAGCAGCCGCGGUAAUACGUAGGUGGCAAGCGUUGUCCGGAAUUAUUGGGCGUAAAGGGCUCGCAGGCGAUUUCUUAAGUCUGAUGUGAAAGCCCCCGGCUCAACCGGGGAGGGUCAUUGGAAACUGGGAAACUUGAGUGCAGAAGAGGAGAGUGGAAUUCCACGUGUAGCGGUGAAAUGCGUAGAGAUGUGGAGGAACACCAGUGGCGAAGGCGACUCUCUGGUCUGUAACUGACGCUGAGGAGCGAAAGCGUGGGGAGCGAACAGGAUUAGAUACCCCCGUAGUCCCUGUCUCUUAUAC
rnacentral:rRNA from 1 species